GCAUGGGUGUCAAGAAACCGAAUUCAUAGCCAUGUUUUAUUGCGUAGUUUCUCCGAUACCUCUCAAAAAACCCUGCCCAUGCCACAGACACAAUUGAAACAGCUAGGCCAAUGCCUACCCUUUGAAGCUGAGAAGCACCAUGAGGAUGACCAGUAAUGCGUCGGGAUAUCGGAACAAAGAUCGAGUAAUAUAGAGAAAGUAUGAGGAAAAUGCUGAGGCCUGGAAACACUGGCAUGCAAGUUACCGGGAGUUUUAGACGACCCAUCUGUGUGUUCAUAGUAUAUGCCUGUUGUAUGGAGAGAGUCAGAUACUCUGUUAAAACUACAUUGAUCAUUACGGUGCAAGCUGUAACUGGAAUCAGUUUCAGUAGUAUCUUCACUUCUUCUACUUGAGUCACAGUGCAAAGCCUCCACGGAUUAGGAUCCACACCAUCUUCCUUCAAUUGCAGAGCUGCCUUGUCCAAACAUCUGAAAUCAUCAGUAUGAGCUAUCUUUCCACUACCCUUUAUAGCAGAAUGUUUCCCUGGAACCUCGUAGAGGCCUAUUAGCUCACUGCUAGAAAAACUGGCUUUUCUCUUCCGGAAUGCAGCAACCAGAACUUGGGCAACCCUUGUUAGGGGGCUGCCUCCUGGCAAUCUGUGUCUGUACAUGGGGGUGCCAAUAAAGAAUAGCAUAUUUGAUAUACCCAUAGCUAUGGCCAAUGAACCGAACGCAAAUCCCCAUCCACGUUCCAUUUGAAUGUAGACUACCAAGGUGAAGGCCACUAUUGCCCCAAUAGUUACAGAUAGAUAAAAGAAGUUAAAAAACCUGUCUAGAUGAGAUUUGUAAUUUUUACUUCUUCAUCAAACUGAUCAGCCCCAAAAGAAGAUACGCAGGGCCUUAUACCGGCAGCUCCAAAUCCAGUCACAUAAAGAACUAUGUAGAGGUAGAGCAUCUGCCAUGGUUUUGCGGGCUCGCAAAUACCCAGAAGCAAGGAUAACCGAUCACACUUAUCCUGGUUUGGCAGGAAAAUAUUCAUUGAGGCACAUAAGGUGAUACCUGUCAAACCUGCAAGAUAGAUUGUUGUGAAUAUGGCAAUUGUCCAAUAGCGACCAAGAUAUGCAUCAGCAAGAAACCCACCAAGGACAGAUGAUGCUUGUGAUAUCCCAAGGAAAUUGUUAACUGCAUUCGAGGAACUGGCGAAGGGCCUAUGCAUGACAUAGAACAUGAAGGCCACCAUGUUAACUGAGAGACCGAAAUAAGCCAUCCUCUCAGCCAUU
rnacentral:misc_RNA from 1 species